GCUUUCGUGGCCGUGGCAGCCGCCCACCCGAUGUGCGAAUUCCUUCGAUGGCUGAACAGUGGGAGCGGAGGUUCGAUUCCUCCCGAAGGCA